UUUAUUUUUUUCUAUUUUUUUUAUUUUUUUAUUAUUUUUUAUUUAUUUUAUUAAAGUAAUGAUUUAUUAUAUAUAUAAAUAACAAGACAUAAGAGUCUUUUGCCACUUAAUGAAUAAGGUAUUUUUGAAAAUGUCUCUUUAGUGGUGGUAAAAAUAAAAAGUGGUACCAUGAAAGUGGUAAACAUGUAAUUUCUCCUAAAGUAAAUUUGUUGAAAUAUAUCAUUAAAUAAUAUAAUAAUAUUCUACUAAUUUCGACAUAUUAUUUAUUUCUGUUUUUACAUUUAUAAAAUUUUAUUACCAAAAAAUUACAUGUUUUUUGUCCAAUAAUAUAGUAAAAAAAACAAGAAUCUCGCUCACUUUGAACAAGACAUUCCAAUAGUAACACUCUACGCCAUAUUUUAAUAAGUAAUCAGGCAGCCUAGAAGUAGCCUAAUUGGUAAAGUAUAAAUAGAAGAGUUAUGUUUAGGGUUUCCGCAGCUCGUCUGAAACAAUGUCGGACUCGGAUUAUUCUUAUUCCACUGGUUCUUCUGCGUACCUCGUACCCCAAAGCUACUUUGACCAGAGAGAUGUCAAUAAGAGAGUAUAUCAGAGCCUGGAUACCAAACUAAUUGUGUAGGAUUUGUGCAUUUUGUCAUGGACUCUCACACCGUAGCUGUUACUCGAGCAUCUAACCGAGCAAUUUACAAGUGCAUCCGCUUUGUUGGUAACGUUGGAUGAUAUGAGCCCCAUGGAUGACGAAGAUUAGCCCUUAGGACAACUGAAGGCAAAUGCGAUUUAUAUUUCAAAGUAUCUCAGGAAUGACACUAUCCUAAAGUUUAUUGGUGAUAACUUCCCAUUGAAUUUGGAUACUAGCUCAGUUAAAUCAAGUGAAUAAAGGACAACUUUACUGAUUAAAACCAAAGCUCGCUUGGACACAUGUGAAACCAUCAACGAUCGUCUCAUGCGGCUAAAAUUUGUUACUUGUUGGUUUGCGUCUUAAUGCUACUAAAUAUCAUCUAUAUCUCUGCAAUAGUUAAAGAUAACAUGUAAUAUACAUAUAGAGGGUGUAUUCAACUAAUAAGAUUUUCAAGUAAUUUGUAUUAAAAUGACAAAUCCGCUAUUAUUCAAACGUGGAUUUUAAAAAACACUUUAAAAUCCAAUGUUAUUGAACUUGUCAUUUCAUAAAACACUCUGAAAUCUAUUGCUAUUGAACAAAAUUUAAGUUGGAGAUUUUAGAGUACUUUAAUUAUUUCUAGAGCGUUUGAGGAAAAUUCUUUAGUUAUAAAUUUAAAAAAAUCCAAAUCUCACUAUUUUAGAUGAAAUUUUAGAGUGUUUUAACAAAAAUAACACCAAAUUAUCUAAUUCUCCUGCAAUCAUCUACAAACUCAUUAAAAAUCAAAUUACUUCGAAUUUCAGAUUACCUUCCCAUAAUCUUGAAUCUGAAGGAAGAAUCAAAUAAGAUAUUAAUGCGAGAUUAAUUCUAACUAAAAGAAUAGUUAGAAUAAAAGUUAGAAUAUUUUGUAACACAGACUGCAUUCAAAACAAUAUUCCAUGCGAGCACGGACACGUCCCUAGUUAUAAAUAAAUAUCUAAGCACCUUAAACGGUCCAUUUUAUAUACAUGAACGAAUGAAUAGUACUAUAUCUGGAUCGAGUACAUCUAAUUAAGGUGAUAAAGCAAGAUUAUUGAAUUUGAUUUUUCCUUUUUUAAACAUUGAGUGCCUCCUUCAUUAGUUAAGCAAGAUAAUUGAAUUUGAUUAGCAAAUUUGAGAUAUGACUGCAUAUAUGUGUAUUGUAGCCUUUCACAUUGGUGUUUACAAAUAUAAUCUCCCAACUGUAAUCACUUUAAAUCACAUGUAUUUUUUCUUUAAAGAUUUAACUGUUGCACACAGUACACAGACGCAUCAUACAAACAUAAUACAUGUGUUAUCCACAAACUCUAAGAAAAAGGAAAAAAAAAAAGAAAAA